AGCGUUUGUCUGUCUGUUACGAGGUUCAGAGGACAAACAUUCGUGUGGAGGAGAAAGGGGUAAGCUGAAGAUUCGAGAGUAAUGGAUAAUUUUCAAUGAAGUAAUUACCCCAAACAGUAGGGUGGUAGUUUGCAAGGCAGCGAAUGGUUCCAUCACCACUGCAUGGCACUGAAGAAUGCUGUGCAGAGCCGUGGGCUUCCAUCACGCUGCUCGAUAUAUAGAAUAGAAAUGGGAAGUGAUGAUCUUGGGUGAGGGCGGGGCACCAAGCGAGGGGUAUACAUACUAACUUAUAGUGGCACAUUCCUAUCGGCCAUCACUCUCUGGAGAACUGUUGGUUGGUGGAAAAUGGAAGACAAGAUACGAGAAGUCUCAUCUACUUUUUCACGAAAAAAGGAGAGCCUCACGGACAUGCUAAGGUUGGAGGGCUGGGGUUUUCAAUGCAAUAAUUGAUUUGAUCUGUACGAGAUAUGGGUGAUAUAAACUAAUUAUUGGUUUUGAUGAGGUUACGUUAGCUUAUUUUCAUGCUAUAGGAAUGCCUCCCUCUAGCUUUUU
rnacentral:lncRNA from 1 species